AGAAAUACAGAAGCAGCCCACAGCCCAGCGUGCAACACGCAGCAGAGCCGCAGCGACCGGAGCCCUCAAGCCCUCGCGGAGCACACUGCAAUGACCACUUAGUCCAUGCUAGUGGCGCAGCGACCUGUGACCUGCAUCCGCUGAUCCAUCCCAAGCAGAUCUUCCGACACGGCCUGUUUCAAAGCGGGAGGUACGCCGUCCUUCCUGAAGCUCACCCAGCCUUUGCAGCCCUCAUUUCUCUGAACUGGACAGACUUACAAGAACGAGCGUCCUGCGUCAGAAGCUGCUCAUGGAGGUCCCUGCAAGUGAUGCUUUCCGGAUGACGAUCUUGGUGGGAGAUGUGGACAUGUUUGCAGUGGAGGUCAGGGCCUCUCAGGUGCAAUCCUUAUCUAUUCACUGGAAGAUGGACAGUGAAGAGUGAAGGAACAAGGAUUUAUUUACAUGGGACAAGAACAACUUAAACACAGACUGGCCUCCUGGUGGCAACGGGCUUGCCAAUGGAGAGGACACAAGUUGCCUAUUCCUCAAGUCUAGCUUCAGAACCUGGUGGAUCUGUAAAUAGAAGUUUAUAUGGAGCCUUAUUGAUGCAUAAAGUGCAUUAAAAUAACGUGAAAUCAUGGAGACCAAUCAGAAGAGGCAGUGAACCCACCAAAAUUCAAAAGUUCUCCCCAAUGGCUACAUUUUCCUUGAUGCCAGAAUGACCUCCAGAUCGUAGUUUUCCAUUGCCAGAGAGAGUCCCUUCACUUCCAAACUGUCACUGGGGAGCCACCCUGAGGUGUCAAAAUGGGCACACAGACAGCCACACAAGCUUGUGGUUUGUCACCAAGGUGUUUAUGUGUAGUUGCCUGAUUUGGAGGUGGCUGGGUGGGGCUCCUUUCCCAUCCCAGCGGGGAGGAGUGAACGAACCUUCAUGCCCUAGAAACAUUGAGAAAAUAGUUAAUCUAGGAAUUAAAUUUUCAUGAGAACCCAGAGUUCUGCAGGAAGAGAUUAUGAGGAUUGGGUAUUUAUAUUAAGAUUCAUGAAUCAUGGAAAAUGUUAAUAAAAAUAAAAUUAAAAAAAAAGAUUCAUGAGACAUCCUGACUAAU